ACUCAACAUUAAUCUAUUAUGAAGGAUGAGUCUUAAUUGUUAAAGCAAGCCGUUACUAUACUGAUAUGGAUUCGGAUCCUUGACCAAUUAGUUAGUUCUAUAUAUGUCAUAAUGGGGUUU
rnacentral:sRNA from 1 species